rnacentral:rRNA from 1 species
UACAGAGGUCUCAAGCGUUGUUCGGAUUCAUUGGGCGUAAAGGGUGCGUAGGUGGCGCCGUAAGUCAGGUGUGAAAUUUCGGAGCUUAACUCCGAAACUGCAUUCGAUACUGCCGUGCUUGAGGACUGGAGAGGAGACUGGAAUUUACGGUGUAGCGGUGAAAUGCGUAGAUAUCGUAAGGAAGACCAGUGGCGAAGGCGGGUCUCUGGACAGUUCCUGACGCUGAGGCACGAAGGUCAGGGGGAGCAAACGGG